AGUGAACGCUGGCGGUAGGCCUAACACAUGCAAGUCGAACGGCAGCACAGUAAGAGCUUGCUCUUACGGGUGGCGAGUGGCGGACGGGUGAGGAAUACAUCGGAAUCUACUUUUUCGUGGGGGAUAACGUAGGGAAACUUACGCUAAUACCGCAUACGACCUACGGGUGAAAGCAGGGGAUCUUCGGACCUUGCGCGAUUGAAUGAGCCGAUGUCGUAUUAGCUAGUUGGCGGGGUAAAGGCCCACCAAGGCGACGAUCCGUAGCUGGUCUGAGAGGAUGAUCAGCCACACUGGAACUGAGGCACGGUCCAGACUCCUACGGGAGGCAGCAGUGGGGAAUAUUGGACAAUGGGCGCAAGCCUGAUCCAGCCAUACCGCGUGGGUGAAGAAGGCCUUCGGGUUGUAAAGCCCUUUUGUUGGGAAAGAAAAGCAGCAGGUUAAUACCCCGCUGUUCUGACGGUACCCAAAGAAUAAGCACCGGCUAACUUCGUG
rnacentral:rRNA from 1 species